GCGAGUUUGAACCGUGGCGGGCGCCGGAGCCUCCCGGGUUGUGGCGCCAAUGGAGCCCGUUCUGACAGGUGUUUCGGCAUUUGUGGAAGUUUGGUCAUCUAACAGGACAGAAAAUUACUCAAAAACCUUUGAACAGCAACUUCUUGAUAUGGGAGCCAAAGUCUCAAAAACUUUGAACAAACACGUGACCCAUGUAGUCUUCAAGGAUGGACGUUUGACUACAUGGAAAAAAGCACAGAAGAUGGGCGUAAAAACAGUUUCUGUACUUUGGGUGGAAAAGUGUCAAGAAACUGGAGUACGUGUUGAUGAGUCCUUAUUUCCUCCAGUGGACACUAGUGAAGGAUUUCCACUACUGAUCAAAAAACACAAAUGUAUGCAACCAAAAGAUUUUGUUGAAAAAACUCCAGAAAAUGAUAGAAAGCUUCAGAGAAGACUGGACCAGAUGGCUAAAGAUUUAGCUAUACAAAAGACAACAAUUAAUGCUGAAACGGGUGUACCAGUUUUACUAUUUGAAGAAAAUGGUUCACUUGUAUACAGCCCUGUUAAUAAGAUGAAAGAUCAAUGCAAUGCAAUUGAAAGAGGAACGAAGGGUAUGAAGAAAAAAAGAGAAAAUCUUUCUCCUACUGGAGAACAAAUGGAAGACUGCUUGAACUCAAGUUAUGAUUAUCUUUGGGAAACUGAGAAAUUAAAGAGACAGAAAACAGAGGUAGUAGAACACUCCUGUGAUACUUGGACUGAUAGUCUUGUAUCCACAAGUGCAUCAGUGAAUUCUUCAUCACAGGGCAGUGAGCGAAAAAGCUUAACACCAAAACGACAUAGCAGAAGUAGUUUAACAAAGAAACGGAUUAUCCAGCACACUUUGGAUGACAAAUUGUCUUUAGAAAAGAAACAAUCAAAGUUUCCAAAGAAAAAUCAGAAGAAUGAAAAGAGCAAGACUACUUCAAUUGCAAAUGAAAGUUCUCUUCUCAGGGACUUCGAUCAUAUUACUCCUUCCAAAAAAUUAGUGCAGCUAAAUACUGUUCCUUUUUUGAUUGACAGCCUCUCUAAUUCACCUAUGAAUAGUGAAGACUUAAAUACAUGUUCACUGGAUAAAAGCUUCCCUGUUGACAAAAAUGAUAGUAUUCUUGAAGACAAGAAGAGGAAGAAACUACAACCAUUACCUAAUUUGAAGUUUACCUCAGAACUGGGUGCAUCAGGGUCUAAAGGGCUCUUGCAAGCAGUUACUACAUAUAGCAAGUCGUAUUGUACUGAAGAGGCUUCUUAUGAAGACUUCUUUUCAUCCUCUAAUUUAAAUGAAAAUGAAGUACAAAUAAGAGUGCCAAAUGAAUCACAGAGUCGUCCAGAAGUUUGUUGCAAAGACUCUUUUACAAGCAGGGACUUCUGUCAUGUGAGUUUCUCUAAGCCACAUAAUACUACCAAGAAACAUAGGAAAAAGUCUAUUUCAGUGCAUGAUUUUCCAGUAAAGAAAAAAUUUGAACCAGCUAAAUUUCCUGGAAGCAUGCCAUUAAAUAUAUCAGAUGGCACUGCAGAAGCUCUAGAUUCUGAUGAUGUGAAUAGGCUGCCUCAGCAUGCUCAUGAAAAGUCCUACAGAAACAAUGUGAAUUACUGUGCUCAUACUACUGCUCCAAGAAACACCUGCUCAAACUUAGAAGGAAGAAAAAAUACAUUUUGGACACCUUCUUCCUGGGGUUGAUUCUGUGGUCUUUGGAACUGGGCCAUUGGAUUUCAGAGGAACCAUAUGAGCUUUCAUCCAGCUUUCCUGCGGCUCCUGGCAGUAAUCCAAUUAUCCUUCUGGAUAAACUGAAGCUGUCUUUUUUUUCUUGCAACUUGCACUAGAGGAAAACAAACCAUUGCUUAAGAGAUAACAGGAAGAGAAGUCAAAUUUACAAAGAAGUUGUUUACAUUUCAGAAUGUGGAAUUCUAGAUUAAAAAAUUAUAGAAUUUGGUUGAAGAUAAAAAUAUCACUUAGAACUCAAAUAACUAGUGAAUAAUCAUUAGAAAAAUGUAGAUAUCUCAUAUCUGUGAUGUAUCUUUACCACUUCAUAAUUAUAUCAAAAUAUAUUUAUAAUUCAUGUUGCCUUUUGUAGCACGUGCAGUACACAGCAGCUUUUGGGGAUUUUCUCCUCUGGGUAGUUAGGGAAAGAGUUUAUGCCUAAAGAAUCAGGAGCCAUUUCACUGACGAGCUGGAUCUCUGAAACAGGUUUUUUUCAGGGAGUUGUGUUUUGAUCUCUGACUGUUAUCUCAUUCCUUGGAGGAAGAAUCUGCUGUCUUUCUGAUUAGUUCCACAAUUACAGACUUUCUUGUACCCCAGCUUUAGAGACUUUUUUCCCUCCACUUUUAACUUCUCUUGUUUUACUUUAACUAACCAUUGUAAAAUGAUAAAAUACUUCAUUUGGAGUCACCAUACUAGUAGUC